GUGCUUUCUUGGGCAGCACACUUGCUGAAGUCAGAACGAUGCAGAGAUGGUUAGCCCAGCCCCUGUGCAUGACUGACAUGCAGACUUGUAGAGGGUUCCAUACUUUGU
ensembl:snRNA Gm26061 U6 spliceosomal RNA